rnacentral:rRNA from 1 species
GACGAACGCUGGCGGCGUGCUUAACACAUGCAAGUCGAACGGAAAGGCCCUGCUUUUGCGGGGUGCUCGAGUGGCAAACGGGUGAGUAACACGUGAGUAACCUGCCCUUGACUUUGGGAUAACUUCAGGAAACUGGGGCUAAUACCGGAUAGGAGCUCCUGCUGCAUGGUGGGGGUUGGAAAGUUUCGGCGGUUGGGGAUGGACUCGCGGCUUAUCAGCUUGUUGGUGGGGUAGUGGCUUACCAAGGCUUUGACGGGUAGCCGGCCUGAGAGGGUGACCGGCCACAUUGGGACUGAGAUACGGCCCAGACUCCUACGGGAGGCAGCAGUGGGGAAUAUUGCACAAUGGGCGGAAGCCUGAUGCAGCAACGCCGCGUGCGGGAUGACGGCCUUCGGGUUGUAAACCGCUUUCGCCUGUGACGAAGCGUGAGUGACGGUAAUGGGUAAAGAAGCACCGGCUAACUACGUG